UGGAGGGCAAGUCUGGUGCCAGCAGCCGCGGUAAUUCCAGCUCCAAUAGCGUAUAUUAAAGUUGUUGUGGUUAAAAAGCUCGUAGUUGAACCUUGGGCCUGGCUGGCCGGUCCGCCUCACCGCGUGUACUGGUCCGGCCGGGCCUUUCCCUCUGUGGAACCCCAUGCCCUUCACUGGGUGUGGCGGGGAAACAGGACUUUUACUUUGAAAAAAUUAGAGUGCUCCAGGCAGGCCUAUGCUCGAAUACAUUAGCAUGGAAUAAUAGAAUAGGACGUGUGGUUCUAUUUUGUUGGUUUCUAGGACCGCCGUAAUGAUUAAUAGGGACAGUCGGGGGCAUCAGUAUUCAAUUGUCAGAGGUGAAAUUCUUGGAUUUAUUGAAGACUAACUACUGCGAAAGCAUUUGCCAAGGAUGUUUCCAUUAAUCAGGAACGAAAGUUAGGGGAUCGAAGACGAUCAGAUACCGUCGUAGUCUUAACCAUAAACUAUGCCGACUAGGGAUCGGACGAUGUUAUUUUUUGACUCGUUCGGCGCCUUACGGGAAAC
rnacentral:rRNA from 1 species